GACGUAGGGCGCGAGCGUUGUCCGGAUUUAUUGGGCGUAAAGAGCUCGUAGGCGGCUUGUCGCGUCGUUCGUGAAAACCCACGGCUCAACUGUGGGCUUGCGGUCGAUACGGGCAGGCUGGAGUUCGGUAGGGGAGACUGGAAUUCCUGGUGUAGCGGUGAAAUGCGCAGAUAUCAGGAGGAACACCGAUGGCGAAGGCAGAUCUCUGGGCCGUAACUGACGCUGAGGAGCGAAAGCAUGGGGAGCGAACAGG
rnacentral:rRNA from 1 species